GGGUCCAAAGGAAAAGGCUUUGCAGCAACAAAGCAUCCUGGACAAAUACAGGAAGGAGGGCCGCUUCCAGAGAUUAAGGUCCCUCCGGAAGCUGGAUGAGGAGACUCAGCUGCCCACCAGACCCAGACCAGAAAUACCACGGCAGCCCCUGCCUCCAGCACCAACUCCAGUCCCGCCCAGCACUGCAGGCUCCCCCAAAAGGAGAUGGAAAGAGGAAGGCCCCAAAGGAGGGGGUGGUAUGCGGUCAAAGGCCCUCUGCUGUACAAGG